AGGCAGCAGGCGCGCAAAUUACCCACUCGCGACUCGCGGAGGUAGUGACGAAAAAUAACGGCGCGGGACUCUAUCGAGCGCCCGCGAUCGGAAUGAGAGCACAUCAAAACGGUGAGCCGCACGCGAGGCGGCGAUCGAGAAUCGAUCAGAGGGCAAGUCUGGUGCCAGCAGCCGCGGUAAUUCCAGCUCUGAAAGUAUACUAUUAAGUUGUUGCGGUUAAAAAGCUCGUAGUUGGAACACGGGCUCGGCCGCGCGCCGGCCGCCGGGUCGCGAGGCCCGGCGCGCGUCGGGCGCGCGGUCGGCCCUACACGGGCCGGGCGGCCGCUGCCCUUCGCCGGGUGGCGGCGCGCUACGGACCACGAGCUACUUUGAAAAAAUUGGAGCGAUAAAAGCGGGCCGAAAUGCACGGCCGGGAACAUGACAGCAUAGUACAGUUGAAAGGGCCGCCGCUCUCAGCCGGCCGGCGCCUGGAGCGAUCACCGAUGGUGGCAACGAUCGAGAGGGACGAACGGGGGCAUUCGUACCGCGCCGUUAGAGGUGAAAUUCUUGGAUCGGCGCGAGACGAACCGAGGCGAAGGCGUCUGCCAAGGACGUUUUCCUUAAUCAAGAGCGAGAGUCGGAGGUUCGAAGACGAUCAGAUACCGUCGUAGUUCCGACUAUAAACGAUGCCGACCGCGGGCCGGCGGAUGCGCGAACACUCGGGAGCGCCGCCGGACCGUCGCGGGGAAACCGGAGCUGACGGGUUCCGGGGGAAGUAUGGUUGCAAAGCUGAAACUUAAAGGAAUUGACGGAAGGGCACCACCAGGAGUGGAGCCUGCGGCUUAAUUCGACUCAACGCGGGGAAACUCACCCGGCCCUGACGCGGCAAGGAUUGACAGAUUGAGAGCUCUUUCUCGAUUUCGCGGGCGGUGGUGCAUGGCCGUUCUUAGUUGGUGGAUCGAUUUGUCUGGUUAAUUCCGAUAACGAACGAGACUCGAGUUUGCUAAAUAGACGGCGCGCCGCUCAAGGCCCACGCGGCCGACGGCGGCGCGCUACCCAAAGCUUCUUCUUAGAGGGACCGGCGGCGGGCUUUAAGUCAGCCGCACGAGAUCGAGCGAUAACAGGUCUGUGAUGCCCUUAGAUGCUC
rnacentral:rRNA from 1 species